AGUAAUGUAUGGGGAUCUGCCUGAUGGCGGGGGGUAACUACUGGAAACGGUAGCUAAUACCGCAUAAUGUCUACGGACCAAAGCGGGGGACCUCGGGCCUCGCGCCAUCAGAUGAACCCAUAUGGGAUUAGCUGGUAGGUGAGGUAACGGCUCACCUAGGCGACGAUCCCUAGCUGGUCUGAGAGGAUGAUCAGCCACACUGGGACUGAGACACGGCCCAG
rnacentral:rRNA from 1 species